rnacentral:rRNA from 1 species
AGUAUUCUAAGGCGCGUGGAAGAACUCUCUUUAAGGAACUCUGCAAAAUAGCACCGUAUCUUCGGUAUAAGGUGUGGUUCGCUUCGUACUAGGAUUUACUCCGAAAGCGAAGAAACUUACAACAAAGAGUCCCUCCCGACUGUUUACCAAAAACACAGCACUCUGCUAACUCGUAAGAGGAUGUAUAGGGUGUGACGCCUGCCCGGUGCUCGAAGGUUAAUUGAUGGGGUUAGCAUUAGCGAAGCUCUUGAUCGAAGCCCGAGUAAACGGCGGCCGUAACUAUAACGGUCCUAAGGUAGCGAAAUUCCUUGUCGGUUAAAUACCGACCUGCAUGAAUGGCGUAACGAGAUGGGAGCUGUCUCAAAGAGGGAUCCAGUGAAAUUGUAGUGGAGGUGAAAAUUCCUCCUACCCGCGGCAAGACGGAAAGACCCCGUGGACCUUUACUACAGCUUGACACUGCUACUUGGAUAAGAAUGUGCAGGAUAGGUGGGAGGCUUUGAGUAUAUGACGCCAGUUGUAUAUGAGCCAUUGUUGAGAUACCACUCUUUCUUAUUUGGGUAGCUAACCAGCUUGAGUUAUCCUCAAGUGGGACAAUGUCUGGUGGGUAGUUUGACUGGGGCGGUCGCCUCCCAAAUAAUAACGGAGGCUUACAAAGGUUGGCUCAGAACGGUUGGAAAUCGUUCGUAGAGUAUAAAGGUAUAAGCCAGCUUAACUGCAAGACAUACAAGUCAAGCAGAGACGAAAGUCGGUCUUAGUGAUCCGGUGGUUCUGUGUGGAAGGGCCAUCGCUCAAAGGAUAAAAGGUACCCCGGGGAUAACAGGCUGAUCUCCCCCAAGAGCUCACAUCGACGGGGAGGUUUGGCACCUCGAUGUCGGCUCAUCGCAUCCUGGGGCUGGAGCAGGUCCCAAGGGUAUGGCUGUUCGCCAUUUAAAGCGGUACGCGAGCUGGGUUCAGAACGUCGUGAGACAGUUCGGUCCCUAUCUGCCGUGGGCGUAAGAAGAUUGAAGAGAUUUGACCCUAGUACGAGAGGACCGGGUUGAACAAACCACUGGUGUAGCUGUUGUUCUGCCAAGAGCAUCGCAGCGUAGCUAAGUUUGGAAAGGAUAAACGCUGAAAGCAUCUAAGCGUGAAGCCAACUCUAAGAUGAAUCUUCUCUAAGCUCUCUAGAAGACUACUAGUUUGAUAGGCUGGGUGUGUAAUGGAUGAAAGUCCUUUAGCUGACCAGUACUAAUAGAGCGUUUGGCUUAUCUUUAAUAAAGCAU